ACAGGUCAGCCAAUGGGGACUGUUUGGAAGUAUUUGUUUGUAUGGGGCCAUAAGAGACAGUUUGGAGUCUGGGCGUGGCUUGGACUUGCUGAACUGUAUAGAAGAGUUGGUUUGGCUUCUGUGAGGUAGAAAUGAGAACAAUGCAGCUUUGGCUUUUGGAAGAACAAUUGCUUUCAGGAUGGCCUGCAUAUCUGUGGCAUUUACAUUCUUCCUUCAACUUGAGAAAAACAGUACAGAUCCUAGAAGAACCCUCUCUGGCACACAUACUGUGACUUUUGAAGUGGUGACUUUUGAAGUGGAAACCUGGUUUUGAAAAAUCCUUUAAUCCGGAGAGUAGCAAGAGAUGUGCUUA